GCCUGGGUGGCACAGCGGUUAAGCGUCUGACUUCGGCUCAGGGCGUGAUCCCGGCUUUGUGGGAUCGAGCCCCACGUCAGGCU
rfam:Ailuropoda melanoleuca scaffold1120_67, whole genome shotgun sequence.